GCACAGAGUGCCUAAUGUUCGCCUACCACCUUAAUUCACACAGAACGAGAACAACGUCAAAAUCAUCGCAGUAACUGAAGGGGAGCGAGUGCUGUACGCCACCCUCCAGCCGUCCUCCAAGAGUCGUCUCGAACUAUCCAUGAGUGAAGUGGUUGAGGAGGUGUCCAAGCAAAAGAUCGACCCGGACAAGCGCGCCCUGAUUUUUGAGCUUACGUGCAAGAACGUGAACGGUCAGGACGUAGAGCUUCCACGAGUGCGAUACGUACUGCCCAGAUGACCGCCCCCGCCGUCUGUGCGGAAAGAACCAGGCUAUACGGUAGGCCGGGCUGCUUCCAUCCCAUCACUGCGCAGCCGGUGUCGCUGCCUGCGUGGUAGACAGCGCCAGCGACAACGCCCCCUGCGAUCUCACGCCUGCGCCCGGAAAUUUCCGUCUUGAUUCGAAACUUCUCGUUUAAAUUGAUGCGACUUAAACCAGUGAAACCUUAAGGCUUAUAGGAGCACUGUUCAACAAGU